rnacentral:rRNA from 1 species
GGGUUGUGAGGUUAAGCGACUAAGCGUACACGGUGGAUGCCCUGGCAGUCAGAGGCGAUGAAGGGCGUGCUAAUCUGCGAUAAGCGCCGGUAAGGUGAUAUGAACCGUUAUAACCGGCGAUACCCGAAUGGGGAAACCCAGUGUGACUCGUCACACUAUCAUUAACUGAAUCCAUAGGUUAAUGAGGCGAACCGGGGGAACUGAAACAUCUAAGUACCCCGAGGAAAAGAAAUCAACCGAGAUUCCCCCAGUAGCGGCGAGCGAACGGGGAGGAGCCCAGAGCCUGAAUCAGCAUGUGUGUUAGUGGAAGCGUCUGGAAAGGCGCGCGAUACAGGGUGACAGCCCCGUACACAAAAGCGCAUGUGCUGUGAGCUCGAUGAGUAGGGCGGGACACGUGGUAUCCUGUCUGAAUAUGGGGGGACCAUCCUCCAAGGCUAAAUACUCCUGACUGACCGAUAGUGAACCAGUACCGUGAGGGAAAGGCGAAAAGAACCCCGGCGAGGGGAGUGAAAAAGAACCUGAAACCGUGUACGUACAAGCAGUGGGAGCACAGGUUUACCUGUGUGACUGCGUACCUUUUGUAUAAUGGGUCAGCGACUUAUAUUCUGUAGCAAGGUUAACCGAAUAGGGGAGCCGGAGGGAAACCGAGUCUUAAUUGGGCGUUAAGUUGCAGGGUAUAGACCCGAAACCCGGUGAUCUAGCCAUGGGCAGGUUGAAGGUUGGGUAACACUAACUGGAGGACCGAACCGACUAAUGUUGAAAAAUUAGCGGAUGACCUGUGGCUGGGGGUGAAAGGCCAAUCAAACCGGGAGAUAGCUGGUUCUCCCCGAAAGCUAUUUAGGUAGCGCCUCGUGAAUUCAUCUCCGGGGGUAGAGCACUGUUUCGGCUAGGGGGCCAUCCCGGCUUACCAACCCGAUGCAAACUGCGAAUACCGGAGAAUGUUAUCACGGGAGACACACGGCGGGUGCUAACGUCCGUCGUGAAGAGGGAAACAACCCAGACCGCCAGCUAAGGUCCCAAAGUCAUGGUUAAGUGGGAAACGAUGUGGGAAGGCCCAGACAGCCAGGAUGUUGGCUUAGAAGCAGCCAUCAUUUAAAGAAAGCGUAAUAGCUCACUGGUCGAGUCGGCCUGCGCGGAAGAUGUAACGGGGCUAAACCAUGCACCGAAGCUGCGGCAGCGAACGUAUCACUUAAAGCGAUUCAGCGGGUUACGAUUGACGGAGCGAAGCGACGUCAAAGCGUAUACAAAGUCGAGUCGGUUUAAGGAUACGUUCGUUGGGUAGGGGAGCGUUCUGUAAGCCUGUGAAGGUGGCCUGUGAGGGUUGCUGGAGGUAUCAGAAGUGCGAAUGCU